rnacentral:tRNA from 1 species
GCUUUGGUGUUUCAGUGGUAGAAGUCUCGCCUUCAAUGAGAGAGACCAGGGUUCAAUUCCUAGCCAAUGCA